rnacentral:rRNA from 1 species
CCUACGGGUGGCAGCAGUGAGGAAUAUUGGUCAAUGGACGAGAGUCUGAACCAGCCAAGUAGCGUGAAGGAUGACUGCCCUAUGGGUUGUAAACUUCUUUUAUAUGGGAAUAAAACGUUCCACGUGUGGGAUUUUGUAUGUACCAUAUGAAUAAGGAUCGGCUAACUCCGUGCCAGCAGCCGCGGUAAUAUGGAGGAUCCGAGCGUUAUCCGGAUUUAUUGGGUUUAAAGGGAGCGUAGGUGGAUUGUUAAGUCAGUUGUGAAAGUUUGCGGCUCAACCGUAAAAUUGUAGUUGAAACUGGCAGUCUUGAGUACAGGAGAGGUAGGCGGAAUUCGUGGUGUAGCGGUGAAAUGCUUAGAUAUCACGAAGAACUCCGAUUGCGAAGGCAGUUCACUGGACUGCAACUGACACUGAGGCUCGAAAGUGUGGGUAUCAAACAGGAUUAGAUACCCCGGUAGUC